GAGGGGAGAGCCUGAUGUUACCCGUAGAACACCUGAUUACUUCCUCUAAAUCAGCCUUCUGUUGCACCAUUAUGACCUACUUAACUGCCACUUCAUCCCUACUUCAAGCUCAGGUGGUUGAGCAUCCUUGUUGCAAGAGAAUGAUAUCUAUUGAGUUUAAUAUCUAUAGAACUUUCUUGGCAUGCUUUACUGGUGGCUAUGGGAGCCCAAAAGCAUGUAUAAUAGUGCCAGAUUCUGUGCUUUUUAGCUGUGUCUUGUACUUGAAACCUCGCUGGAUAUGCUCAUGGCAGACCAUCAGCGUUAGAUUGUACCUUCUUUUCACUUUUGUCCCAUCCUUUUGGGGCCUGUAGGGGGAUAAAUGUAUCCGAUAUCUAGUGGGUGCUUUUACUCUUUUUUCACCGUGUAAUUUUCAACGGAGUUGUUUAGAAGUUUCAUCUCUCUCACUCUCUCUCUCUCUAUCUCUCGUUUGACAUCAAAGAAACUUGAAACCUUGAGCUGUAAAGAAAUUUUCUCUACAAAGAUGAAUACGGCUUCCAAGGAAUAUGAACUUGUUCCCAAAACCGUAAUAAACAUGUCCCCAUUUUUUCAAUUGCCUAUCACCUUUUUUCUUUUGGUGUAAUUAACUGUAGCCGAGAGUCAAACUCGAG
rnacentral:misc_RNA from 1 species